CAUGUCUAAGUAUAAGCAACUUGUACUGUGAAACUGCGAAUGGCUCAUUAAAUCAGUUAUCGUUUAUUUGAUAGUACCUUACUACAUGGAUACCUGUGGUAAUUCUAGAGCUAAUACAUGCUAAAAACCCCGACUUCAGGAAGGGGUGUAUUUAUUAGAUAAAAAACCAACGCCCUUCGGGGCUCCUUGGUGAAUCAUAAUAACUUAACGAAUCGCAUGGCCUUGCGCCGGCGAUGGUUCAUUCAAAUUUCUGCCCUAUCAACUUUCGAUGGUAGGAUAGUGGCCUACCAUGGUGGCAACGGGUAACGGGGAAUUAGGGUUCGAUUCCGGAGAGGGAGCCUGAGAAACGGCUACCACAUCCAAGGAAGGCAGCAGGCGCGCAAAUUACCCAAUCCCGAUACGGGGAGGUAGUGACAAUAAAUACUGAUACGGGGCUCUUUUGGGUCUCGUAAUUGGAAUGAGAACAAUUUAAAUCCCUUAACGAGGAACAAUUGGAGGGCAAGUCUGGUGCCAGCAGCCGCGGUAAUUCCAGCUCCAAUAGCGUAUAUUAAAGUUGUUGCAGUUAAAAAGCUCGUAGUUGAACCUUGGGUCUGGCUGGCCGGUCCGCCUCACCGCGAGUACUGGUCCGGCUGGACCUUUCCUUCUGGGGAACCUCAUGGCCUUCACUGGCUGUGGGGGGAACCAGGACUUUUACUGUGAAAAAAUUAGAGUGUUCAAAGCAGGCCUUUGCUCGAAUACAUUAGCAUGGAAUAAUAGAAUAGGACGUGUGGUUCUAUUUUGUUGGUUUCUAGGACCGCCGUAAUGAUUAAUAGGGAUAGUCGGGGGCGUCAGUAUUCAGCUGUCAGAGGUGAAAUUCUUGGAUUUGCUGAAGACUAACUACUGCGAAAGCAUUCGCCAAGGAUGUUUUCAUUAAUCAGGGAACGAAAGUUAGGGGAUCGAAGACGAUCAGAUACCGUCGUAGUCUUAACCAUAAACUAUGCCGACUAGGGAUCGGACGGGAUUCUAUAAUGACCCGUUCGGCACCUUACGAGAAAUCAAAGUUUUU
rnacentral:rRNA from 1 species